rnacentral:rRNA from 1 species
GGAAACCCUGAUGCAGCAACGCCGCGUGGAGGAUGACGCAUUUCGGUGUGUAAACUCCUUUUAUAGGUCAAGAAAAUGACGGUAGCCUAUGAAUAAGCACCGGCUAACUCCGUGCCAGCAGCCGCGGUAAUACGGAGG